GAUGAACGCUGGCGGCGUGCCUAAUACAUGCAAGUCGAGCGAACAGACGAGGAGCUUGCUCCUCUGACGUUAGCGGCGGACGGGUGAGUAACACGUGGAUAACCUACCUAUAAGACUGGGAUAACUUCGGGAAACCGGAGCUUAUACCGGAUAAUAUAUUGAACCGCAUGGUUCAAUAGUGAAAGACGGUUUUGCUGUCACUUAUAGCUGGAUCCGCGCCGCAUUAGCUAGUUGGUAAGGUAACGGCUUACCAAGGCAACGAUGCGUAGCCGACCUGAGAGGGUGAUCGGCCGCACUGGAACGGAGACACGGUCCAGACUCCUGCGGGAGGCAGCAGUAGGGAAUCGGCCGCAAUGGGCGAAAGCCUGACGGAGCGACGCCGCGUGAGUGAUGAAGGUCUUCGGAUCGUAAAACUCUGUUAUUAGGGAAGAACAAAUGUGUAAGUAACUAUGCACGGCUUGACGGUACCUGAUCAGAAAGCCACGGCUAACUACGUG
rnacentral:rRNA from 1 species